rfam:Ictidomys tridecemlineatus contig005345, whole genome shotgun sequence.
GGGAUUGUGGCUCAUUGGUAGAGCAUUUGCCUUGCAGGCAUGGGGCACAGGGUUCAAUCCUCAACACCA